GCUGAGAUGGCUCAGUUGGUAGAGAAUGAGACUCUUAACCUUAGGAUUGUGGGUUCGAACCCCACGUUGGGCA